rnacentral:rRNA from 1 species
GCAAAAGCUCAAAUUUGAAAGCUAGCACCUUCGGUGUUCGCGUUGUAAUUUGAAGAUAGUUUCCUUGAGUAGUCCUUUAUCUAUGUUCCUUGGAACAGGACGUCAUAGAGGGUGAGAACCCCGUAUGAUUUUGGAUACUACUCUUUGUGGGAUUCUAUCGAAGAGUCGAGUUGUUUGGGAAAUGCAGCUCUAAGUGGGUGGUAAAUUCCAUCUAAAGCUAAAUAUUGGCGAGAGACCGAUAGCGAACAAGUACAGUGAUGGAAAGAUGAAAAGAACUCUGAAGAGAGAGUGAAAAAGUACGUGAAAUUGCUGAAAGGGAAGGGCUUGAGGUCAGACUUGGUGUUUAAUGAUUAUCAGUUCUUCUUGGACUGUGCACUCGUUUUUCACCGGGCCAAUAUCAGUUUUAGCGGUAGAGUACCCCUUGAAAUGUGGCUUCCUUCGGGGAGUGUUAUAGUCUUGGGGAGAUCUACUUGCUGGGACUGAGGACUGCGCUUCGGCAAGGAUAUUGGCGUAAUGACCUUAAGCCGCCCGUCUUGGGGCA